rnacentral:rRNA from 1 species
UGGAUCCAGACCUUGAUCCUGGCUCAGGAUGAACGCUAGCUACAGGCUUAACACAUGCAAGUCGAGGGGCAGCAUGAACUUAGCUUGCUAAGUUUGAUGGCGACCGGCGCACGGGUGAGUAACACGUAUCCAACCUUCCGUUUACUCAGGGAUAGCCUUUCGAAAGAAAGAUUAAUACCUGAUAGUAUGGUGAGAUUGCAUGAUAGCACCAUUAAAGAUUUAUUGGUAAACGAUGGGGAUGCGUUCCAUUAGGUAGUAGGCGGGGUAACGGCCCACCUAGCCGACGAUGGAUAGGGGUUCUGAGAGGAAGGUCCCCCACAUUGGAACUGAGACACGGUCCAAACUCCUACGGGAGGCAGCAGUGAGGAAUAUUGGUCAAUGGGCGAGAGCCUGAACCAGCCAAGUAGCGUGAAGGAUGAAGGUCCUACGGAUUGUAAACUUCUUUUAUACGGGAAUAAAGUAUCCUACGUGUAGGAUUUUGUAUGUACCGUAUGAAUAAGCAUCGGCUAACUCCGUGCCAGCAGCCGCGGUAAUACGGAGGAUGCGAGCGUUAUCCGGAUUUAUUGGGUUUAAAGGGAGCGCAGACGGGAGAUUAAGUCAGUUGUGAAAGUUUGCGGCUCAACCGUAAAAUUGCAGUUGAUACUGGUUUCCUUGAGUGCAGUUGAGGCAGGCGGAAUUCGUGGUGUAGCGGUGAAAUGCUUAGAUAUCACGAAGAACCCCGAUUGCGAAGGCAGCUUGCUAAACUGUAACUGACGUUCAUGCUCGAAAGUGUGGGUAUCAAACAGGAUUAGAUACCCUGGUAGUCCACACGGUAAACGAUGGAUACUCGCUGUUGGCGAUAUACUGUCAGCGGCCAAGCGAAAGCAUUAAGUAUCCCACCUGGGGAGUACGCCGGCAACGGUGCAACUCAAAUGAAUUGACGGA